rnacentral:rRNA from 1 species
AUUGAACGCUGGCGGCAGGCCUAACACAUGCAAGUCGAGCGAGCGGCGGACGGGUGAGUAAUGUCUGGGAACAUGCCUGAUGGAGGGGGAUAACUACUGGAAACGGUAGCUAAUACCGCAUACCAUCAGAUGUGCCCAGAGUGGAUUAGCUAGUAGGUGGGGUAAUGGCUCACCUAGGCGACGAUCCCUAGCUGGGCUGAGAGGAUGAUCAGCCACACUGGAACUGAGACACGGUCCAGACUCCUACGGGAGGCAGCAGUGGGGAAUAUUGGACAAUGGGCGCAAGCCUGAUGCAGCCAUGCCGCGUGUGUGAAGAAGGCCUUCGGGUUGUAAAGCACUUUCAGCGGGGAGGCGUUACCCGCAGAAGAAGCACCGGCUAACUCCGUGCCAGCAGCCGCGGUAAUUC